UGGGGAAUAUUGCACAAUGGGCGCAAGCCUGAAUGCAGCGACGCCGCGUGCGGGAUGGAGGCCUUCGGGUUGUAAACCGCUUUUGUUCAAGGGCAAGGCACGGUCUUUGGCCGUGUUGAGUGGAUUGUUCGAAUAAGCACCGGCUAACUACGUGCC
rnacentral:rRNA from 1 species